rnacentral:pre_miRNA from 14 species
GGACCUCGGAGGACACCUCUUCCCCAGGCCACAUGCUUCUUUAUAUCCUCAUAGAUAUCACUGCGCUAUGGAAUGUAAGGAAGUGUGUGGUUUUGGCAAGUGCUUCUUCACGGCCGACGA